UCGCGGCCUAUCAGCUUGUUGGUGAGGUAACGGCUCACCAAGGCUUCGACGGGUAGCCGGCCUGAGAGGGCGACCGGCCACACUGGGACUGAGAUACGGCCCAGACUCCUACGGGAGGCAGCAGUGGGGAAUAUUGCACAAUGGGCGAAAGCCUGAUGCAGCAACGCCGCGUGCGGGAUGACGGCCUUCGGGUUGUAAACCGCUUUCAGCUCCGACGAAGCGCAAGUGACGGUAGGAGCAGAAGAAGGACCGGCCAACUACGUGCCAGCAGCCGCGGUGAUACGUAGGGUCCGAGCGUUGUCCGGAAUUAUUGGGCGUAAAGGGCUUGUAGGCGGUUUGUCACGUCGGAAGUGAAAACUCAGGGCUUAACCCUGAGCCUGCUUCCGAUACGGGCAAACUAGAGGAAUGCAGGGGAGAAUGGAAUUCCUGGUGGAGCGGUGGAAUGCGCAGAUAUCAGGAGGAACACCAGUGGCGAAGGCGGUUCUCUGGGCAUUUCCUGACGCUGAGAAGCGAAAGCGUGGGGAGCAAACAGGCUUAGAUACCCUGGUAGUCCACGCCGUAAACGGUGGGCACUAGGUGUGGGACUCAUUCCACGAGUUCCGUGCCGUAGCUAACGCAUUAAGUGCCCCGCCUGGGGAGUACGG
rnacentral:rRNA from 1 species